rnacentral:rRNA from 1 species
AACGAACGCUAGCGGCAGGCCUAACACAUGCAAGUCGAGGGGUAGAGGAAGCUUGCUUCCUUGAGACCGGCGCACGGGUGCGUAACGCGUAUGCAAUCUACCUUGUACAGGGGGAUAGCCCAGAGAAAUUUGGAUUAAUACCUCAUAGUGUUUAAGAGUGGCAUCACUUUUUUACUAAAGUUCCAACGGUACAAGAUGAGCAUGCGUCCCAUUAGCUAGUUGGUGUGGUAACGGCAUACCAAGGCAAUGAUGGGUAGGGGUCCUGAGAGGGAGGUCCCCCACACUGGUACUGAGACACGGACCAGACUCCUACGGGAGGCAGCAGUGAGGAAUAUUGGGCAAUGGAGGCAACUCUGACCCAGCCAUGCCGCGUGCAGGAAGACGGUCCUAUGGAUUGUAAACUGCUUUUGUACGAGAAGAAACACUCCUUCGUGAAGGAGCUUGACGGUAUCGUAAGAAUAAGGAUCGGCUAACUCCGUGCCAGCCGCCGCGGUAAGAC